rnacentral:rRNA from 1 species
UACGGAGGAUGCAAGCGUUAUCCGGAAUGAUUGGGCGUAAAGCGUCCGCAGGUGGCAAUGUAAGUCUGCUGUUAAAGAGUGAGGCUCAACCUCAUAAGAGCAGUGGAAACUACAUAGCUAGAGUGCGUUCGGGGCAGAGGGAAUUCCUGGUGUAGCGGUGAAAUGCGUAGAUAUCAGGAAGAACACCGGUGGCGAAAGCGCUCUGCUAGGCCGCAACUGACACUGAGGGACGAAAGCUAGGGGAGCGAAUGGG